UACGUAGGCAGCGAGCGUUGUUCGGAGUUACUGGGCGUAAAGCGUGCGUAGGCGGUGAUCUAAGUCUGUUGUGAAAUCUCCCGGCUUAACCGGGAGGGUGCGGCGGAAACUGGGUUGCUGGAGUGCGGGAGAGGUAAGCGGAAUUCCCGGUGUAGCGGUGAAAUGCGUAGAUAUCAGGAGGAACACCAAUAGCGAAGGCAGCUCGCUGGGACGUGACUGACACUAAGGCGCGAAAGCGUGGGGAGCGAACAGG
rnacentral:rRNA from 1 species